CAAGUUCCCAAGAGAUUCUCACCGCCGGGAUUAGUUUUUUUACCUCGGAGAAGUGAAAACUCACAACAGCAAGAAAAUUGGAUUUUACACCAAUCAGUUCUUCUGGCGGCUAAAAAUAUGAAUGAGGUGGGGAGUGAUUUACGACGAUUAUUGGUAAUGUUUUCGAAACUUUAUAUAGAAAGUUAGAAACUCAUAAAAGAAAAAAAAUUGACUAGUUAAAAUAAAUUAAUAAAAUCUAGCUUUUUUAUUUUAUCAAUUUUUUUCGGAUGGAAGUAUCUGGGGAAAAAUUAGAGAUCUG